rnacentral:rRNA from 1 species
CAAAAGGGGCAGCAAAAUGAGGUCAUAUAGGACUUCAGCUAGUACAGAUUACAAACAACUAUGUAUCAUAAGUACACUAGAGCUAGCAAGGAAUGAAAUUUUUUAGAAAACUGUAAAACCAGAAGAUAGGUACAGUAAGUUGUGAUCAAACAGAACUGUAAUUACAUAAAAUGGGUGCUUUGAUCUUGCUGAUGUGGAUAUAGAGUACAUCUAGUGCAGAUUACAAGCUACUUA